AAUCCAUGAUGAGGACACCUUUACAGUAGGUCCUUGUCUUUCUCCCAUCCAUCGUAAAGAGUUUCUAAGUCCAUCUGCACAAACGAAGAGAUAUCAUUAUGUAACU
rfam:Gossypium arboreum cultivar AKA8401 contig_6235_3, whole genome shotgun sequence.